GUUCCCCCUAAACCCCCCAAUCUUCCCUAUUCCUACAAGGAAACAUCCCCCUCCCCCCUUCCCCCCCCAUUUGUGUGUGAGCAUGCGGGCAGGCGAUACUCUUUGUUUCAACCUGACCUCUACCUCAUGGUGACCCCCUCUUGGUUGGGGGGGGGGAAGAGGACGGGAUGGGGGGGAAGAAGGAGGAGAGGGUGAGGGGAGACUUCUGCAGAUACAGCCUUUAUACAUCAAGAGGUUGCCUAUAGGAGGAAGCCGAUGGCUGCAGCAUCCAGCGCAUUAUUACCUUGCGAUGCCGUGACCCUCCUCCAUGCAUCCCUAACUCUUUAAAGCUGAUUCAGCUAGCGCUCUGGAGGCUCCCCUGCUGCAACAGAAUCUCCUCACUGUUUGUCAGGUAAACCACAACCGGCCUCAGCUGCUACAGAGUUCAACUGGGUGGCUUUUUCUUAACACUGAAAGAAAUAAAGAAAGUGAAGACAUUCUCUUUCUGGGGCUCUUUGGGAGGCAGAAGAAAUCCUGGACUUACUAGACUUCGCAUGUUACUAGCUUUUCUCAGACACAAAGCUUAAGUCCAAAGGGGAAGCAACUAGAUCAGCAGCUGUCUCAGGG
rnacentral:lncRNA from 1 species